rnacentral:rRNA from 1 species
GAGUUUGAUCUUGGCUCAGAACGAACGCUGGCGGCAUGCCUAACACAUGCAAGUCGAACGAGACCUUCGGGUCUAGUGGCGCACGGGUGCGUAACGCGUGGGAAUCUGCCCUUGGGUUCGGAAUAACAGUUAGAAAUGACUGCUAAUACCGGAUGAUGACUUCGGUCCAAAGAUUUAUCGCCCAAGGAUGAGCCCGCGUCGGAUUAGCUUGUUGGUGAGGUAAAAGCUCACCAAGGCGACGAUCCGUAGCUGGUCUGAGAGGAUGAUCAGCCACACUGGGACUGAGACACGGCCCAGACUCCUACGGGAGGCAGCAGUGGGGAAUAUUGGACAAUGGGCGAAAGCCUGAUCCAGCAAUGCCGCGUGAGUGAUGAAGGCCUUAGGGUUGUAAAGCUCUUUUACCCGGGAUGAUAAUGACAGUACCGGGAGAAUAAGCCCCGGCUAACUCCGUGCCAGCCGCCGCAGUAAU